UUCCUGCAGGGAUACACACAUGCAAGAACGCCCGAAUUGUGGGCUGCAGUGUUACCGGUAAUAAACAAACCAAAAGCCAGCCCAGGUUGAUAAGCUACUAAACUUGAAUUUAAGGACAUUAUUACCAGUUACUUUUCCUGGAGCUUCGAGACAGGACCAGAAAUCGUUUAGACUAACUGCCUCAGCCUGGUGAUGGAGGACUCAGUGUACCCCAGACGGGCAGUGUUAGUAUGUCUAUAGAGUGGAGGGCGCUAUGAAGAGAGCGAAGAUCGCCCGGAACACCCACAUUGUUACGGAAACCCUAUAGCCUGACCCACUUAACAACCACAACAGAUCAGCUUCAAUAGGGACUGUAGUAGUGUUUAUGCUUUGUUAUUUAUAUCAUUUCUACUUUUGACUGAUGACUUUGAUGAUUUUCAUCUCAGCCAUCAUUCAAUCCAUCACACAGUGUUGGUGACUAGAGCUUUACUGUAGUUAACAUAGUAAAUCAUUUAUUAAGUAGUUGUGAAAUGUUCUGUUAUGAUACGGGGCAGGGUAGCCUAGUGGUUAGAGCGUUGGACUAGUAACCGAAAGGUUGCAAGUUCAAAUUCCCGAGCUGACAAGGUACAAAUAUGUCGUUCUGCCCCUGAACAGGCAGUUAACCCACUGUUCCUAGGCCGUCAUUGAAAAUAAGAAUUUGUUCUUAACUGACUUAAAUAAAGGUAAAAUAAAAUAAAUAAAUACAUGUUUUUAAAAAAUGGGGGGUGGGGGGGUUAGUGUUAGGACAUAGACAAACACUACUCUGAUACACUUCCACACACCAUCUCCAAGUAGCAGCACCAACCGAGUCAAGGGCUCUGUUCUGCCAGGAAGCCUUGAUAAUUCCUUAGGGGCAAGUGAUCAAGAUUGCUUGUCAGUCCAGGGGACAGGAGGCCAGAAGCCUCUCAGUUGGCCUUUGUUUGUUAAUGGUGUUGGUUCAUCUCUUUAGUUGAGAAUGUGUUUUUUGUAUUUUCCUUUUUGUAUUUAUGUUUCAUCAUCUGAACAAAUAAUAAUCCGCUUGGAAUGGCCUAUCAAAUCAAAUUUUAUUUUUCACAUACACAUGGUUAGCAGAUGUUAAUGCGAGUGUAGCGAAAUGCUUGUGCUUCUAGUUCCGACAAUGCAGUAAUAACCAACAAGUAAUCUAACUAACAAUUCCAAAACGACUGUCUUAUACACAGUGUAAGGGGAUAAAGAAUAUGUACAUAAGGAUACAUGAAUGAGUGAUGGUACAGAGCAGCAUAGGCAAGAUACAGUAGAUGGUAUCGAGUACAGUAUAUACAUAUGAGAUGAGUAUGUAAACAAAGUGGAAUAGUUAAAGUGGCUAGUGAUACAUGUAUUACAUAAGGAUGCAUCCUGGUCCGUGACUGGGCUGGAUUUCUUCAUGUAGUCCGUGAUUGACUGUAGACCCUGCCACAUGCCUCUUGUGUCUGAGCCGUUGAAUUGAGAUUCUACUUUGUCUCUGUACUGAUGCUUAGCUUGUUUGAUAGCCUUGCGGAGGGAAUAGCUGCUGCACUGUUUGUAUUCGGUCAUGUUACUAGUCACCUUGCCCUGAUUAAAAGCAGUGGUUCGCGCUUUCAGUUUCACGCGAAUGCUGCCAUCAAUCCACGGUUUCUGGUUAGGGAAUGUUUUAAUCGUUGCUAUGGGAACGACAUCUUCAACGCACGUUCUAAUGAACUCGCACACCGAAUCAGCGUAUUCGUCAAUAUUGUUAUCUGACGCAAUACGAAACAUAUCCCAGUCCACGUGAUGGAAGCAAGAAGGAGCUGGCCCUGGAACAAAGGUGGCUGUCUCCUGGGUAAGUACAUUUAACACCUAGUCGCACACACUUACUUCCCACGUUUAUGCACACAUCAAAUCAGGUUACAGACCAUUUAGCUGGGCUUAAGACCCCUAGACAUAACGAGAGCAACAAAAUCAGUACACUAGUUAUUGGUUUCGUAGCAGUUCCUUUAAUAUUGCUAUACUGUAACAAUGUCCAUUAGCUCAGGUGCGAUGACAUUCACAGUGGUGUGUGUGUUUUAGGUCAGUGAGCCUAAACGUCAGGGUGGUGUUUGUGGCUGGCCAUAGGGUCCUCCUCCUACUGUACCAUCCACGCCCUCAGCCCCACAGCCCAUACUCCUCCCUGGGAACACUGCUCUCACCCCAGGGCCCUUCCACACACUACCCCUCCCUGGAGGAUCACAUGGCAAGUGUGGGUUUAGCUGUGGUGCCAAACGCCUGGGACCAGCCCUUACUGCUGGGUGUGAAGGGCACCACCCCAGACCCUGGCUCCUACCGUUUCCUGACGCCCGCUGAGUUUUUACAAUUGGAGGGGGCACUUGUGAGGUGCCUGGUGGACUGCCAUCGAUGUACCAGAAGGCCCAUGAGGAGAGGGAGAAGAGUGUACAGGACUGGCAGAAGACGGUGAAGGAUGCCCACCUGAACAAUAAGUUGUCUGUUUUCAGAGAGCGGUGGCGUCAGUUCCAGGCCCUGGUGGAGCAGAAGUUCCAUGAUUGGCUGUUGGACAUGGGCUGGACAGCCUUAUCCCCCCCUGCAUCACUUCCCAAGACCCCUCGCACAGCGACAGCCUGGAGGCCGGGCCAAAUGACACCAGGCAGGAAGGGACAUCUAGAUGGACAGUGGGGAGGACAGCUUUUGCCUUGCUGACUUUUUGGGUUCUUGUUUUCUUGUUGAUGGAGAUCCCCAUACAAAGAAGCUUUUGCCUCACAGUCAGCUGUUUGCUUCACAGCCACUGGUAGCACUAAGCCCUUUGUUUGCAUGCUGUCCACAGUUCCAGACAGGCCUGGAUCUGAUCUGAGGAUCACUAGACUGCAGAAGGGUGGCCUGGUAUACACCUCUGGCUCUGUUCUCGUCCCCUGUAUGCUGUCUCGCCCUCCCACUGCUGCAUUCCUUCAUCUAGUUGAGACUGGUGUGUCCAGAUUCUCUACCCUUGCACACUCACUCUCAUGGAUUUACCAAUGGUGGGGAUGGUAGAGAAUCAGGACACAGGCAGGGGUCCUAGAGUACUUGGGGUACGACUACAGGGUACCUAUUGUUAGCCAUUCAGGUUAGAUCUGCCUAGAGUCUGGUUCUUCUGCUGUGUGUACUGUACCAAUGAAAUAAUAGGGAAUCAUUUAACUGUCUGUUAAAUUCAGAGAUUGACCUUCCAGUGUAGGGGAAAGAUGUAUUAAUGUAUACAUAUGAUAUUAAGUUGUUAAUAUGUAUUUUCUGGUAGCGUAGGAGAGAGGGUGUGAUGAAUUUAAAGGCCUGUGCCAAAUUCCAAGGAAUGUAAUACCUUUAGCACCUGAGUGCCAAUCUGUUUGUGCUGUCAUGUCAACUGCUUAUCACUCAUUGUCAUGUCAAACUGUUUCAAAAUGUUUGACUUUGGAAAUGGGGUUGGCAAGAGCACAAACCGAUCUGGGACCAGGCUAGUACCUCCCUCAGAUGGGACUUUGGUCUGUAGACUAUAAUAGCCACCUCGAAGAAGAUGGCAGAACACAUUAGUGUUAUGAGAAGAGAAAGAUGCCUUUGAGGGAGCAGUUAUAUUCCGUUACAUGGGCCAUUAAGUUAUAUUUCGUUACUGUGUACUAUUAAAAUAAGCCUAGCAUGCUCCAGAGAAUGCUGAUGUUGCUAGGUAACCAGGUAUUUCUCUUCCUUAUUAGUCAUUUGCUUUGCUUCUUCGGCCAGUGUGGAUGGAAGAGAUUGUAUUAUUGUUCUUCCGCCUUGCUGCUGUAGUUUAGUUCUCAGGGACUUCCCCUGUGUAUGCCCUCUUUAUUGUUAUGUUAUCUUAUUGUGUUACUUUCUAUUUCAUAUUUUACUUUAGUUUAUUUAGCAAAUAUUUUCUUAACUGUCACGACUUCUGCCGAAGUCGUUGCCUCUCCUUGUUCGGGCGGUGCUCGGCGUUCUGCUCGGCGUUCGACGUCACCGGUCUUCUAGCCAUCAUUGAUCUUUUUUCAUUUUCCAUUGGUUUUGUCUUGUCUUCCCACACACCUGUUUUCAAUCCCAUUCAUUACCUGUUGUGUAUUUAACCCUCUGUUUCCCCUUAUGUCUUUGUCAGAGAUUGAUUUGUUGUCAGUGUAGUGUGAUUGUUUGUAUAGGUGCGCGUCGGGUCUUCGUACCCAUGUUUUGUUUGUUUGUACAUUUAUUGUUAUGGAGCAUACUUGUGGAACUUUAUUAAAAGACUCCAUAUUUACACUC